GCAGCGCUUAAAAGUUUGUGCUGGGAUGCGAGACUUUAUCCCUUCUAGUUACCUUGUUAUAGAAAUGUUGGUUGGAGUUUAUUGUUGAGUGGUGCCAGAUUUUUGAAUACCUGUUUAUCUUAAAAACAGCGGAACUGCUGGGCAAUGUUCUAUGUCUAAAGUUAAUGAGUUUUCAAUGGUUCUGCAUCUAAAGUUAAGUUUUCUUUGCAAUGCUUAUUUUUGAUCUUCUAAUCUAUACCAGCUGUGCUAAAUGUCGCGGGGUUUUAACUAAAAUGGUGUUUUUCAACCCGUCCUGUACUCUGUAUCGAUAUUAUAUCUAUAUUUGAUAUUUAUAUCUGUUUUGUAAUACAUAAUUGGCUGUACUCGUAUCCAUAUUAUAACUGAAUCCAAUCAACG
rnacentral:lncRNA from 1 species